GACGGUUUGGCCGAGUGGUCUAAGGCGCCAGAUUUAGGCUCUGUUCGAAAGGGUGUGGGUUCAAAUCCCACAGCCGUCA
rnacentral:tRNA from 1 species